rnacentral:rRNA from 1 species
CCCUUAGAUGUCCUGGGCCGCACGCGCGCUACACUGACAUGUUCAACAAGUUUCUCCUAGUUCGAUAGGACUGGGAAAUCUUUGAACGCAUGUCGUGAUAGGGAUAGAUCAUUGCAAUUAUUGAUCUUGAACGAGGAAUUCCUAGUAAACGCGAGUCAUCAGCUCGCAUUGAUUACGUCCCUGCCCUUUGUACACACCGCCCGUCGCACCUACCGAUUGAAUGUUUCGGUGAAGAUUCCGGAUAGGACUGAUUUGAUUUAUUUCAUUUCUGACCUAAAAGCUAUCUAAACCUCAACAUUUAGAGGAAGGUGAAGUCGUAACA